GGGGCGAACGCUGGCGGCGUGCUUAACACAUGCAAGUCGAGCGGUAAGGCCUUUCGGGGUACACGAGCGGCGAACGGGUGAGUAACACGUGGGUGAUCUGCCCUGCACUUCGGGAUAAGCCUGGGAAACUGGGUCUAAUACCGGAUAUGACCUCAGGUUGCAUGACUUGGGGUGGAAAGAUUUAUCGGUGCAGGAUGGGCCCGCGGCCUAUCAGCUUGUUGGUGGGUAAUGGCCUACCAAGGCGACGACGGGUA
rnacentral:rRNA from 1 species